GACGAACGCUGGCGGCGUGCCUAAUACAUGCAAGUUGAGCGCUGAAGGUUGGUACUUGUACCAACUGGAUGAGCAGCGAACGGGUGAGUAACGCGUGGGGAAUCUGCCUUUGAGCGGGGGACAACAUUUGGAAACGAAUGCUAAUACCGCAUAAAAACUUUAAACACAAGUUUUAAGUUUGAAAGAUGCAAUUGCAUCACUCAAAGAUGAUCCCGCGUUGUAUUAGCUAGUUGGUGAGGUAAAGGCUCACCAAGGCGAUGAUACAUAGCCGACCUGAGAGGGUGAUAGGCCACAUUGGGACUGAGACACGGCCCAAACUCCUACGGGAAGCAGCAGUAGGGAAUCUUCGGCAAUGGACGAAAGUCUGAACGAGCAACGCCGCGUGAGUGAAGAAGGUUUUCGGAUCGUAAAACUCUGUUGGUAGAGAAGAACGUUGGUGAGAGUGGAAAGCUCAUCAAGUGACGGUAACUACCCAGAAAGGGACGGCUAACUACGUG
rnacentral:rRNA from 1 species